GCGUGAGUGAUGAAGGCCCUAGGGUUGUAAAGCUCUUUCAGCGAGGAGGAUAAUGACGUUACUCGCAGAAGAAGCCCCGGCUAACUUCGUGCCAGCAGCCGCGGUAAUACGAAGGGGGCUAGCGUUGUUCGGAAUCACUGGGCGUAAAGCGCACGUAGGCGGACUUUUAAGUCAGGGGUGAAAUCCCGGGGCUCAACCCCGGAACUGCCUUUGAUACUGGAAGUCUUGAGUCCGAGAGAGGUGAGUGGAACUCCGAGUGUAGAGGUGAAAUUCGU
rnacentral:rRNA from 1 species